AACGAACGCUGGCGGCAUGCCUUACACAUGCAAGUCGAACGGCAGCGCGGGAGCAAUCCUGGCGGCGAGUGGCGAACGGGUGAGUAACAUAUCGGAACGUGCCAGGAAGUGGGGGAUAACUAGUCGAAAGAUUAGCUAAUACCGCAUACGCCCUAAGGGGGAAAGUGGGGGAUCGCAAGACCUCACGCUUGUUGAGCGGC
rnacentral:rRNA from 1 species